rnacentral:rRNA from 1 species
GACGGAAGGUGCAAGCGUUGUUCGGAUUCACUGGGCGUAAAGGGUGCGUAGGUGGUCGGGUAAGUCUGAUGUGAAAUCUCCGAGCUUAACUCGGAAAUGGCAUUGGAUACUAUUCGGCUAGAGGGUUUGAGGGGGGACUGGAAUACUUGGUGUAGCAGUGAAAUGCGUAGAUAUCAAGUGGAACACCAGUGGCGAAGGCGAGUCCCUGGAAAACUCCUGACACUGAGGCACGAAAGCUAGGGGAGCAAACAGG